ACGAGUUUCGUCCAGUGAGCAAGUCCCUUCGGCUUAGUACCUCAAGGCCGACUUGUGGUUAUCGUACCGUAUCAACUCAGAGAUGUGACAGUACGAGCAGAAUCCUCGGGUGAGGAGUUCACCUGCACUGAACACGGGCUCAGUACUUCCGCUAAGCAAAUGCUGAUACUUUCGAGAAUGUGAAAACGGAUUGAUUAUGGAAAGGCGGGCAAAGAAGAAAAGAAAAAAAAUAUCCCAUGUCGGUGCAGAAGGAACCAAUCAAGGCAGAACAAGUAUUAUA